AAGUCGUAACAAGGUUUCCGUAGGUGAACCUGCGGAAGGAUCAUUAACACGUAUCCAACGUUAAACCCCCCUGUGAACUGUAUAUCGUGCUCUUGGAUCCCCCCAAUCAGCAAUCUCUGGUAAAUCAUUGUCGAACAGCUUUUGAUUCAGAGACUUCUGCCUUCGACUGGGUGACUGCGGAAGCUAACGGUCCAAUCGAGCGCUGGGAUCAGUGGUUUGGUUUCCCCUCAAACCACUUCAAUGAAUGACAGUGUGAUGGGGAGGUCGAAUAACCCUAAAACCACAUGUCAGCGUAGGCCCUUCUGUCGUGGUUGGGCGUAAAAACGAACAACUGUUAACAAUGGAUAUCUUGGUUCUC
rnacentral:misc_RNA from 1 species